rnacentral:lncRNA from 1 species
AGAAAGUUAGAUCAUAAGUUCUAAGGUGAGAGCAAUGACAACCAUAUAUAUCAUAUUAGUUCCUUGUUACAGAACUUUUUUAUAUUUUUCUGUUUUAGUAACUGGAAUUCCCUGGUAGCUCAGCUGGUAAAGAAUCCUGCCACAAUGCAGAAGACCCUGGUUUGAUUCCUGGGUCAGGAAGAUCCACUGGAGAAAGGACAAGCUACCAACUCCAGUGUUCUAGGUGUCCUAGAUUUAAAGAAGGAAGAUCAGAGGGAUGAUCGUCUGGAGGUGAUCACUGAUGAUGACAAAGAGGCUGAGGAAGCAGGGGAUGGCAGAGAUGGCUUCCAUGAAUGGUGAAUCCAUUGCUGUUUGGAGGAGUGAAGUGGUAUAAUUUUUUUUAAAGGUAUUUAAACUAAUAACCCUGUUUUUUUUAUUUACCACAAGUAUUUUUAAAAAACUCCACCAUGGUCAAACUGAUGUCUCUAUAGAGGAAAGGGCCUGACAAAGUGAGGCAAGAUUGUAUUGAAAAAUAUUUCUUUCAUUUGCAGAAAAACUUGCCAUAUAUGUAUUUUUUUUUUCUAUGAGGUCAUAUUUUUCUCCGGUUUUAAGCCUCACAUAUAAAGAGUCAACCCACAUACCUAUGCCAUUGAGAAAGAAAAAGGACAAUGAGAAACAUGGAGAAACCUUGAGAAAGAAAAAUCAUUAGAUUUACUGAUAGACAUUAAAGACCAGUACAUUAAGAAUUACUCACUUCAAAAACCACUACAAUAUUGUAAAGUAAUUAGCCUCCAAUUAAAUAAAUUAAUUAAAGAAAAUUACUCACUUAAAUUGUUCAGUAAGUAACAAAAGGGGCCAAAGUGCUUGGUUAAAAAAAAAGAUGAUUAUUCCAAACAGCAAACCCAUUUGUGUUCAAGCAAAUAGCUGCUCCUUUUUCAUUUCAUAGACUUCCCUGAUAGCUCAGUUGGUGAAGAAUCUGCCUGCAAUGCUGGAGACCCCAGUUCAAUUCCUGGGUCAGGAGAUCUGCUGGAGAUGGGAUAGGCUACCCAGUUUCCAUUUGGCUCCCCAGGAACCAUCAGUGGAACAAGUUACUGGGAAUGUGUUGAGUCUCCUUAACUGGGGAGAGGACCCAAGGAUGUUACCAUUCAUGUUGAAGAGUGUUACCCCCGUGGAGAGCACAGACCUUAGAAGAGAUAAGAGCUCCGAAGAGCCGACAGAAAGUCCUUGUCGCAAACGUGAGAAGGAAAAUCAGAACAAGUGGAAUAUUCUAGAUUGUAAAGAAGGUAACACUUCAGUGACCUCGAGAGAGCACCUUUUGGAGCAUGGAUUAGGAUGGUAUGAGGUCAGGAUUGACUGGACAAAGAUGGAUGAGCAAUGA